AGCCAUAAGCAGGGACACUUCCCAGCAAACCAGCUCUCCUGGGGUGUUUUGUGGUGUAAAUUUUGCAUUGUUUAAUGAAGUUAUCACUUUCUGCAAAGCCAGUGGCUCCUGUAAGCUGCUGGCUCUGCUUCUUCCCUCAGUUCUUACUGGGAGCCUGGGAGGUCGGGAAGGUUCUCUGGACAGUGGAGCUGAGAGUGUUCCCCAGGAGGAUGCCGACAAAGAGCCAACCCAGCUAACACAGUGUCUGAGUUACAGUCAGCACACAUGGAAAGUUGCCCCGGUCAUUUAUUUUGAGCAAGUUCAGCAACUUGGCCCAUCUUUCUGAAUAGUUUG